AACGAACGCUGGCGGCAGGCCUAAAACAUGCAAGUCGAGCGGGCAUAGCAAUAUGUCAGCGGCGGACGGGUGAAUAACACGUGGGAACAUGCCCUUUGGUACGGAACAACUCAGGGAAACUUGAGCUAAUACCGUAUGUGCCGGUAACGGGAAAGAUUUAUCGCCAAAGGAUUGGCCCGCGUCCGAUUAGCUAGUUGGUGAGGUAACGGCUCACCAAGGCGACGAUCGGUAGCUGGUUUGAGAGAACGAUCAGCCACACUGGGACUGAGACACGGCCCAAACUCCUACGGGAGGCAGCAGUUGGGAAUCUU
rnacentral:rRNA from 1 species